UACGGAGGGAGCUAGCGUUGUUCGGAAUUACUGGGCGUAAAGCGCACGUAGGCGGCUACUCAAGUCAGAGGUGAAAGCCCAGGGCUCAACCUUGGAACUGCCUUUGAAACUAGGUAGCUAGAAUUCUGGAGAGGUCAGUGGAAUUCCGAGUGUAGAGGUGAAAUUCGUAGAUAUUCGGAAGAACACCAGUGGCGAAGGCGACUGACUGGACAGAUAUUGACGCUGAGGUGCGAAAGCGUGGGGAGCAAACAGG
rnacentral:rRNA from 2 species